GCCAGCGUAGCUCAGGGGUAGAGCAACUGAUUCGUAAUCAGUAGGUCGCGGGUUCGAAUCCCAUCGCUGGCU
rnacentral:tRNA from 1 species